GACGUAGGGGGCCAGCGUUGUUCGGAAUUACUGGGCGUAAAGGGUUCGUAGGCGGUGUGGCAAGUCGGGAGUGAAAUCUCUGGGCUCAACUCAGAGACUGCUUCCGAAACUGCUGUGCUGGAGUGUGGGAGAGGCGCGUGGAAUUGCAGGUGUAGCGGUGAAAUGCGUAGAUAUCUGCAGGAACACCCGUGGCGAAAGCGGCGCGCUGGACCACUACUGACGCUGAGGAACGAAAGUGUGGGGAGCAAACAGG
rnacentral:rRNA from 1 species